UUUAUUUAUAUAAUCUAUUAUUCGGACACAAAUCAUGCAAAACUUCAAUUUAUUAUUCGGGAACAAAUAAUACAAAACUUCAAUAUCUGACAACCGAGCCCCUGUGGUUUUCCUGUGAGUUUCUAUGCAAAUAAAAUGGCUAUCCAUAAACAUAAAAGAAAGGAACCACCGACUGGUGACGUCAUCCUUAUAAAGUCACUUCCAUUGUAUGAAAACACUGUUGUUUUGUACAUUUCAAGGAAAAUACAGACGCAGGAAUUUAUAGCUAUGCCAGCCUUUGAAAGAAAUUAAUACACUGUCGGGCUUACAAGGUCAAGGUUUAUCGACUAAGACGACUUGCCGAGCUACGGAAGCCUUUAAGGGUCAAGUUAAUAAAAAUUAUAUGUCGAAUAAACGACAUAACUAUGUCGAAUAAACGACUUAAUGUGUCGAAUAAACGACAUAACUUUGUCGAAUAAACGACUUAAUAUGUCGAAUAAACGACAUAACUAUGUCGAAUAAACGACAUAACUUUGUCGAAUAAACGACUUAAUAUGUCGAAUAAACGACAUAACUUUGUCGAAUAAACGAUAUUUUAAUAGCUCUACAGUUGAAUACACGCAUUGUUUCGGAGAGUUACAUCAGGGACAUUCCUAGCUCCAUGUAUCGGAGAGAUAUCAGGCUGACCUUGAUGAAUUUCCCAAGUCAUGGAAUUCACAUCACAUUAGACCCACCAGAAAUCAAAACUGCCCUCAUGGUCGACCAAUGGUGAUGUACAACAUUCCAUCUCUCUUCAACACAAGCAACUAUCUUCAAUUAACAUCUGAGCAAAAGAUUAAUGUAUGUGCUGAAGAAUGUUCGUUUCGCAAAGAUGUUACAUGUGACGAGCAGAUAAGUGAACUAUGUUGCAUUUACAUGGAAGAAAAUGGGUGGCAAUAUCCCGUGGAUGUAGGAGAAGGCAUAACAUUGUACAGAAACUUGCGGAGAUCGCUUAUGAUUGAUCUCAAUAUGGAUCCUUAUUUUGAUGACUAUGAUUCGAGUGCAUAUGAUAUACUAAAAUAAAACAAUACUAAAAUAUG